rnacentral:misc_RNA from 1 species
GAUGAAAACGUAGCGAAAUGCGAUAAGUAAUGUGAAUUGCAGAAUUCAGUGAAUCAUCGAAUCUUUGAACGCACCUUGCGCCCUUUGGCCAUUCCGAAGGGCAUGCCUGUUUGAGUAUCAUGAACACCUCAACUCUUUAUGGUUUUCCAUGAUGAGCUUGGACUCUGGGGGUUUUGCUGGCUCACAGUCGGCUCCUCUAAAAUGAAUCAGCUUACCAGUGUUUGGUGGGUAUCAUGGGUGUGAUAACUAUCUACGCUUGUGGUUUUUCCACCAGGUAACCUUCAGCAGUGGAGGUUCGCUGGAGCUCAUAGAUGUCUCUCCUCAGUGAGGACAGCCCUUUGAAUGUUUGAUCUCAAAUCAGGUAGGACUACCCGCUGAACUUAAGCAUAUCAAUAAGCGGAGGA